CCCUUAGAGUUUGAUCCUGGCUCAGGAUGAACGCUAGCUACAGGCUUAACACAUGCAAGUCGAGGGGCAGCAUGAUUGAAGCUUGCUUCAAUCGAUGGCGACCGGCGCACGGGUGAGUAACACGUAUCCAACCUGCCGAUAACUCGGGGAUAGCCUUUCGAAAGAAAGAUUAAUACCCGAUAGCAUAGUUUUUCCGCAUGGUUUCACUAUUAAAGAAUUUCGGUUAUCGAUGGGGAUGCGUUCCAUUAGAUAGUUGGCGGGGUAACGGCCCACCAAGUCAACGAUGGAUAGGGGUUCUGAGAGGAAGGUCCCCCACAUUGGAACUGAGACACGGUCCAAACUCCUACGGGAGGCAGCAGUGAGGAAUAUUGGUCAAUGGACGAGAGUCUGAACCAGCCAAGUAGCGUGAAGGAUGACUGCCCUAUGGGUUGUAAACUUCUUUUAUACGGGAAUAAAGUGGAGUAUGCAUACUCCUGAGUAUGUACCGUAUGAAUAAGAUCGGC
rnacentral:rRNA from 1 species